rnacentral:rRNA from 1 species
UACUCGAGUGGCGAACGGGUGAGUAACACGUGGGUGAUCUGCCCUGCACUUCGGGAUAAGCUUGGGAAACUGGGUCUAAUACCGGAUAGGAACCAUCGUUAGUGUGGUGGUUGGAAAGUUUUUUCGGUGUAGGAUGAGCUCGCGGCCUAUCAGCUUGUUGGUGGGGUAAUGGCCUACCAAGGCGGCGACGGGUAGCCGGCCUGAGAGGGUGUACGGCCACAUUGGGACUGAGAUACGGCCCAG